rnacentral:rRNA from 1 species
CUUGCUCUUCGAUUCAGCGGCGGACGGGUGAGUAAUGCCUAGGAAUCUGCCUGGUAGUGGGGGACAACGUUUCGAAAGGAACGCUAAUACCGCAUACGUCCUACGGGAGAAAGCAGGGGACCUUCGGGCCUUGCGCUAUCAGAUGAGCCUAGGUCGGAUUAGCUAGUUGGUGAGGUAAUGGCUCACCAAGGCGACGAUCCGUAACUGGUCUGAGAGGAUGAUCAGUCACACUGGAACUGAGACACGGUCCAGACUCCUACGGGAGGCAGCAGUGGGGAAUAUUGGACAAUGGGCGAAAGCCUGAUCCAGCCAUGCCGCGUGUGUGAAGAAGGUCUUCGGAUUGUAAAGCACUUUAAGUUGGGAGGAAGGGCAGUAAGAUAAUACCUUGCUGUUUUGACGUUACCGACAGAAUAAGCACCGGCUAACUCUGUGCCAGCAGCCGCGGUAAUACAGAGGGUGCAAGCGUUAAUCGGAAUUACUGGGCGUAAAGCGCGCGUAGGUGGUUUGUUAAGUUGGAUGUGAAAGCCCCGGGCUCAACCUGGGAACUGCAUCCAAAACUGGCAAGCUAGAGUACGGUAGAGGGUGGUGGAAUUUCCUGUGUAGCGGUGAAAUGCGUAGAUAUAGGAAGGAACACCAGUGGCGAAGGCGACCACCUGGACUG